GGCUAUGGCCAUACCACCCUGAACAUGCCCUGUUUUGCCUGAUCUCAGAAGCUAAGCAGGGUCGGGCCUGGUUAGUACUUGGAUGGGAGAACAUUGUAAACUCUAUGAGGGGAAGGAGCUU
rnacentral:rRNA from 1 species